rnacentral:rRNA from 1 species
AUGACCUCGGAUCAGGUAGGGAUACCCGCUGAACUUAAGCAUAUCAAUAAGCGGAGGAAAAGAAACCAACAGGGAUUACCUCAGUAACGGCGAGUGAAGCGGUAACAGCUCAAAUUUGAAAUCUGGCUCCUCGGGGCCCGAAUUGUAAUUUGUAGAAGAUGCUUUGGGUCUGGGCCUGGCCUAAGUUCCUUGGAACAGGACGUCGUAGAGGGUGAGAAUCCCGUAUGCGGCUGGCGCCCGUGCCCGUGUAAAGCUCUUUCAACGAGUCGAGUUGUUUGGGAAUGCAGCUCUAAAUGGGUGGUAAAUUUCAUCUAAAGCUAAAUAUUGGCCAGAGACCGAUAGCGCACAAGUAGAGUGAUCGAAAGAUGAAAAGCACUUUGGAAAGAGAGUUAAACAGUACGUGAAAUUGUUGAAAGGGAAGCGCUGGCAACCAGACUUGGGCGCUGUUGAUCCGCUAGGGUUCUCUCUAGGGCACUCGGCAGUGCGCAGGCCAGCAUCGGUUUGGGGGGUUGGAGAAUGGCUGGUGGAAUGUGGCUGUCUUUGGGCAGUGUUAUAGCCACCGGUGGCAUGCAGCCUCCCCGGACCGAGGACCGCGCUUCGGCUAGGAUGCUGGCGUAAUGGUUGUCACCGACCCGUCUUGAAACACGGACCAAGGAGUCUAACAUCUAUGCGAGUGUUUGGGUGUUAAACCCAUAC